UGUUCUGUAGCUUAGUUAAUUAAAGCGCCGGUCUAGCGUACACGGAGUCGUGAGUUCGAGUCUCACUAGAACGC
rfam:Aedes aegypti strain Liverpool supercont1.62 genomic scaffold, whole genome shotgun sequence.